UGCAGAACACCUUGCCGCCAUCGGUGCUGGGUGCCGCGUGGCCGUAGCCUAGGGGAAAACGGGGCAAGAGGAGAGAAAGCACAUGCUGACGGGGCUGCCAUUCCAGAAACCUGCCUCCCUUCCCCCUGCUCUCUCCUCAUCUUCUGCCACGGUGGUGCGGAGUCUGGCCUCUUUUUCCGGACAGGGAAGCCUGGGGCACUGCAGCCCGUGAGGUCGCAAAGAGUCGGACACCGACUGAGAGACUGAAGAAAACAACACAUAGUUACGGGCGCAUCCUUGUCCCCAGGCACUGUGCUAGUUCUUCGCUGAUGAUUUUUCGUUUAUUCUUCUGACCACUCCCUGGGGGUCGGUAAAGAGGAAGAGGAAGCAGGGAGGGUUAAGUGCCUUUCCAAGGUCACGCUGUUUGGAAGCAGAGCAACUUGCCUUCAAAUUAGAGUCUGUUUGAUCAAAGACCCGACCUUUUUCUAUACCCAGAAGAGGAGCUGACUGGUGCUGCUGUUGGGAACUUAGUCAUGGAUACCAUGAAGAGCACUGCCAUCCUGGAUUGCUCACAGCUGGAAGUGAUCCCUGCCUUGAGUGGCACUGAGAAUGUUCAGCUUUGAAGUCCAGGCCCUGCUCUGUCACUCAAGUCCCCCAACUACAUAUGAACAGCUAAAUACUGGCUUGGAGUCUGUGGGAGUGGACACUGCUGGACAUUGUCAUGUUCCUCCCUGCCCACCCCCCCUCCCACACACAUUGCCAGCCAGGCCUGUGGAAUAUGCCCCAAAUUCAUGUGAUGAGUUGAUGGCAAAGUGGGAUACCAUCUGCCUUGGUGUCUGAUCUGCAUGAAAAUCCCUACUCUGCUA